GUGGGGAAUUUUGGACAAUGGGCGCAAGCCUGAUCCAGCAAUGCCGCGAGCAGGAAGAAGGCCUUCGGGUUGUAAACUGCUUUUGUACGGAACGAAACGGUCCGGGUUAAUACCCUGGGCUAAUGACGGUACCGUAAGAAUAAGCACCGGCUAACUACGUGCCAGCAGCCGCGGUAAUACGUAGGGUGCAAGCGUUAAUCGGAAUUAAUGGGCGUAAAGCGUGCGCAGGCGGUUUUGUAAGACAGGCGUGAAAUCCCCGGGCUCAACCUGGGAAUUGCGCUUGUGGAUGCAAGGCUGGAGUGCGGCAGAGGGGGAUGGAAUUCCGCGUGUAGCAGUGAAAUGCUUAGAUAUGCGGAGGAACACCGAUGGCGAAGGCAAUCCCCUGGGCCUGCACUGACGCUCAUGCACGAAAGCGUGGGGAGCAAACAGGAUUAGAUACCCCGGUAGUCC
rnacentral:rRNA from 1 species